rnacentral:misc_RNA from 1 species
GAAAUGCGAUAGGUAGUGUGAAUUGCAGAUGUAACGUGAAUCAUCGAAUCUUUGAACGCAAAUUGCACUCUCUGGUAUUCCGGGGAGUAUGCCUGUUUGAGGGUCGCCAAAUCAACAUCGAAAUUCAUUUGCUUUUUUGCAAAUGUUUAUCGGAUUUGUGCCGUCUUUUAUUUUUUUUUAAUUAAAGUGGCUUAAAAUGUAUUUUUUGGUAUCGAAAAACGUUAUUUUACGAUCCAAUUGAUCAAAAAACGAACGUUUCGAAUGCCGUCUUUUAAUGUAAUACGUUUGACUGUGUUGCAAUCAUGGGUUUCAUUCGUAUACGAUUUUUAUUUUUUGACCUCAAAUCAGGUAAGAACACCCGCUGAACUUAA